rnacentral:rRNA from 1 species
GGGUGCGAUCAUACCAGCACUAAUGCACCGGAUCCCAUCAGAACUCCGAAGUUAAACGUGCUUGGGCGAGAGUAGUACUAAGAUGGGUGACCUCUUGGGAAGUCCUCGUGUUGCACCCCUCU